rnacentral:ncRNA from 2 species
UAUUCAGGCGGUGCGUCAGGUUCCCCGAAAGGGGAAUAAUAGGGAACGCGGAACCAGGGAUUCUCCCUGUAAACCGUGGCUGUCCCCGCAACUGUGACCGGUGAGUGGUCGCCUGUGAAAUGCCACUGGGUGCAUCUGCAUCCGGGAAGGUGAGGCGAACAUGAUGAUCCGGGAGCCAGGAGACCUGCCUGACGCCGUCGGUCCUU